rnacentral:rRNA from 1 species
UACGGAGGGUGCAAGCGUUGUUCGGAUUUACUGGGCGUAAAGCGUGUGUAGGCGGAUUUGCAAGUCAGGUGUGAAAUCCCCCGGCUUAACCGGGGAAGGUCGCUUGAAACUGCAAACCUUGAGUUCCGGGGAGGUGAGUGGAAUUCCCAGUGUAGAGGUGAAAUUCGUAGAUAUUGGGAGGAACACCGGAGGCGAAGGCGGCUCACUAAUCGGACACUGACGCUCAAACACGAAAGCGCGGGUAGCAAACAGG